GCCUCUUGUUUACACCAAGAAAAUGUCCGUUCAACCCGGACCAUAUUGA
rnacentral:tRNA from 1 species